rnacentral:rRNA from 1 species
ACAUGCAAGUCGAGUGCGCAGUCUGCUGUAGCAAUACAGCAGGCCGGCGCACGGCGCACGGGUGCGUAACACGUGGGCAACCUGCCCUCCAAAGGGGGAUAACCCGCCGAAAGGCGGGCUAAUACCGCAUGAUAUUCCGGUGGCUUCGGCCGCCGGAAUCAAAGUCCGCAAGGACGUUGGAGGAGGGGCCCGCGCCCGAUUAGCUUGUUGGCGAGGUAACGGCUCACCAAGGCUUUGAUCGGUAGCCGGUCUGAGAGGAUGGCCGGCCACACUGGAACUGAGACACGGUCCAGACUCCUACGGGAGGCAGCAGUGGGGAAUCUUGCGCAAUGGGCGAAAGCCUGACGCAGCGACGCCGCGUGGGGGAUGAAGCUUCUCGGAGUGUAAACCCCUUUCGACCCGGACGAAACGCCCGCAAGGGCUUGACGGUACGGGUAUAAGAAGCCCCGGCUAACUACGUGCCAGCAGCCGCGGUAAGACGUAGGGGGCCAGCGUUGCUCGGAAUUACUGGGCGUAAAGGGUUCGUAGGCGGUGCGGUAAGUCGGAAGUGAAAUCUCUGGGCUUAACU